GUAGGUGGCAAGCGUUGUCCGGAAUUAUUGGGCGUAAAGCGCGCGCAGGCGGUUCUUUAAGUCUGAUGUGAAAGCCCACGGCUCAACCGUGGAGGGUCAUUGGAAACUGGAGAACUUGAGUACAGAAGAGGAAAGCGGAAUUCCACGUGUAGCGGUGAAAUGCGUAGAGAUGUGGAGGAGCACCAGUGGCGAAGGCGGCUUUCUGGUCUGUAACUGACGCUGAGGCGCGAAAGCGUGGGGAGCAAACAGGAUUAGAUACCCUGGUAGUCCACGCCGUAAACGAUGAGUGCUAAGUGUUAGGGGGUUUCCGCCCCCCUUAGUGCUGCAGCUAACGCAUUAAGCACUCCGCCUGGGAUACGGCCGCAAGGCUG
rnacentral:rRNA from 1 species